CCUACGGGAGGCUGCAGUGAGGAAUAUUGGUCAAUGGGCGCGAGCCUGAACCAGCCAAGUCGCGUGAGGGAGGACGGCCCUACGGGUUGUAAACCUCUUUUGCCGGGGAGCAACGGGCGCCACGUGUGGCGUCACUGAGAGUACCCGGAGAAAAAGCAUCGGUAAACUCCGUGCCAGCAGCCGCGGUAAUACGGAGGAUGCGAGCGUUAGCUGGAUUUAUUGGGUUAAAGGGGUGCGUAGGCGGAUCGGUAAGUCAGUGGUAAAAUUGGGGGGCUAAACCCCUUCCCGCCAUUGAAACUGGCGUUCUUGAGUGGAAGAGAAGUAUGCGGAAUGCGUGGUGUAGCGGUGAAAUGCAUAGAUAUCACGCAGAACCCCGAUUGCGAAGGCAGCAUGCCGGCUUCCAACUGACGCUGAAGCACGAAAGCGUGGGGAUCGAACAGGAUUAGAUACCCUGGUAGUC
rnacentral:rRNA from 1 species